AUUGAAAUAAAAACAGGUACCGGAAACAACAGUUGGAAAAAUUGUUGGCGGCGUUUGUUCCCUCAGCGGAAUUCUUGUUAUUGCUCUUCCCGUUCCUGUCAUUGUAUCGAAC
rfam:Clunio marinus genome assembly, contig: CLTMA_superscaffold_45B